UGUGAAGAUGACUAAAAUCUGUGGGAAUGAUGAUUUUUAAUCUGUCAUGUGCAUUGGAAAUCCCUGAGGCAAAUGUUGGAAGGUUUAGGUUAUGUUGUCAUUAUUUUGUUUCGGUUCAUUUUUCCUUUGUUUCUUUGUUUUGCUCGAGGACUAGCAAAAGCUAAGUGUGGGGGAAUUUGAUAGGAGCAUAUUUAUGCGCCUUAGUUAACUAGUUCUUAUGCAUUUUCGUUAUGUUUUCUUAGUUUAAAGUAGUCUUUUAAGCUAGUUUCAUGUGUUUUCAGGUUUUAAGGGCAUAUUACAUAAAAUGAUGCAAUUUGGAGCCUUUUGGAGCAAAAUGGAGCUUAGAUUGAAAAGUACAUGCUUGGAACACAAGGUUUGGACAAAAUUGAAGAUUUGAAGAUUUGAGGAUUCCUAGUCCAAGAAGGAUUCCUAGUCCGAGGAGGAGUCCUAAUUGAAGAAGGAUUCCUAAUCAACGAGGGAUUCCUAGUUAAAGAUGGAUUCCUAGAAGAAUGAAGAUUCCUACUCAAACGAAGUUUCCUACUUGAAGUAGGAAAGCUAAGCCUAAAAGUUUCCAUUUUGGGUUGAUCUUUCCUAAACCUAAAUGGCCUUGAGUUUAAGCAAUCUUAGAAGGUUCCUAAGCGUUGAAAGACACAAAGAGGGGUUCUAGAAUAUUUUCUCAUCCUUGUCGUGGGUUAGGGCCUAUUUCUUCUUGGUUUUGGUCUUUCUAGAAGCCCUAUUUGCUCACCCUAAACCUGCCGCACCUUUCCCCUUUCUAGAAACCCUUUGCCUUGCCUUGCAAGGCAUUCUAGAAGGC
rnacentral:lncRNA from 1 species